rnacentral:rRNA from 1 species
UGGGGAAUAUUGGACAAUGGGCGCAAGCCUGAUCCAGCCAUGCCGCGUGAGUGAUGAAGGCCCUAGGGUUGUAAAGCUCUUUCACCGGUGAAGAUAAUGACGGUAACCGUAGAAGAAGCCCCGGCUAACUUCGUGCCAGCAGCCGCGGUAAUACGAAGGGGGCUAGCGUUGUUCGGAUUUACUGGGCGUAAAGCGCACGUAGGCGGACUAUUAAGUCAGGGGUGAAAUCCCGGGGCUCAACCCCGGAACUGCCUUUGAUACUGGUAGUCUUGAGUUCGAGAGGGGUGGGUGGAAUUCCGAGUGUAGAGGUGAAAUUCGUAGAUAUUCGGAGGAACACCAGGGGCGAAGGCGGCUCACUGGCUCGAUACUGACGCUGAGGUGCGAAAGCGUGGGGAGCAAACAGG